rnacentral:rRNA from 1 species
AACGAACGCUGGCGGCAGGCCUAACACAUGCAAGUCGAGCGAGGACUUCGGUCCUAGCGGCGGACAGGUGAGUAACGCGUGGGAACGUGCCCUUUGCUUCGGAAUAGCCCUGGGAAACUGGGAGUAAUACCGGAUGAGCCCUUUGGGGGAAAGAUUUAUCGGCGAAGGAUCGGCCCGCGUUGGAUUAGGUAGUUGGUGGGGUAAUGGCCUACCAAGCCGACGAUCCAUAGCUGGUUUGAGAGGAUGAUCAGCCACACUGGGACUGAGACACGGCCCAGACUCCUACGGGAGGCAGCAGUGGGGAAUCUUAGACAAUGGGGGAAACCCUGAUCUAGCCAUGCCGCGUGAGCGAUGAAGGCCUUAGGGUUGUAAAGCUCUUUCAGCUGGGAAGAUAAUGACGGUACCAGCAGAAGAAGCCCCGGCUAACUCCGUG